GCCCCCGAGCUGCAGGAGCUGCUGGUGGCCGUGUGGCUGCAGUGCCCCGCCAUCAGCAGGAUCUACAUAGUGGGGCACAGCACCGAGUUCUUGGUCAUCGAGGUCUGCCCCGGCGAGCAUGAGCCAGAGAACCGGAAUUUAAAUACGUUGGGAAUAUGCAUGGGAAUGAAGCCAUCAGAAGGGUGUUGCUCAUCUUCUCGGCUCAGUACUCAUGUAAUGAAUACCAGAAAGGAAAUGAAACUAUCAGCUUGAUCCAUAGCACGCGUAUCCACAUCACGCCACCUUUGAAUCCGCAGGGCUUUGAGAAGGCAGCAUCCCAGCCUGGUGAACUUAAAGACUGGUUUGUUGGUUGAAGUAAUGCCCAAGGGAUAGACCUAAACCAAAAUUUCCCUGAUCUUGAUAGAAUAGUCUAUGUUAAUGAGAAAGAAGGUGGCCCAAAGAACCAUUUCCUGAAAAACAUGAAAAAAGCCAUGGACCAGAAUCCUAAGCUUGCUCCUGAAAUGAAAGGUGUCAUUCACUGCAUUAUGGAUAUUCCCUUUGUGCUCUCCGCCAAUCUUCACAGAGGAGACCUCACUGCAAACUAUCCUUAUGAUGAGACUCGGAGUCGCAGUACUCAUGAAUACAGCUCCUGCCCCAGGGAUGCUAUUUUUCAAAGCCUGGCUCACAGUUAUUCUUCUUUCAGUCCUGCCAUGCCUGAUCCAAACAGGCCACCGUGUCGUAAAAAUGACGAUGACAGCAGCUUUGUGGAUGGAACAACUAAUGGCGGUGCAUGGUACAGCAUCCUGGGAGGAAUGCAGGAUUUCAAUUACUUCAGCAGCAACUGCUUUGAAAUCACAAUGGAGCUGUGAAAAACUCCCACCUGAAGAAACUCUGAAGGGCUACUGGGAGGACAACAAGAACUCCCUUAUCAAUUACAUUGAGCAGAUUCAUCGAGGAGCGAAGGGGUUUGUUAAAGAUCUCCAGGGCAAUCCAAUAGCAAAUGCUACAAUUUCUGUGGUGCUUACUUGCCGGUUGGGGUUAAACCACAACACAACCACAUCACCUAAAUGA